rnacentral:rRNA from 1 species
AGCGAACGCUGGCGGCAGGCCUAACACAUGCAAGUCGAACGAACCCUUCGGGGUCAGCGGCGGACGGGUGAGUAACACGUGGGAACGUGCCUUUAGGUUCGGAAUAACUCAGGGAAACUUGUGCUAAUACCGAAUGUGCCCUUCGGGGGAAAGAUUUAUCGCCUUUAGAGCGGCCCGCGUCUGAUUAGCUAGUUGGUGAGGUAAUGGCUCACCAAGGCUACGAUCAGUAGCUGGUCUGAGAGGAUGACCAGCCACAUUGGGACUGAGACACGGCCCAAACUCCUACGGGAGGCAGCAGUGGGGAAUCUUGCGCAAUGGGCGAAAGCCUGACGCAGCCAUGCCGCGUGGAUGAUGAAGGUCUUAGGAUUGUAAAAUCCUUUCACCGGUGAAGACAAUGACUGUAGCCGGAGAAGAAGCCCCGGCUAACUUCGUGCCAGCCGCCGCGGUAACAC